AUCCUUUUAUUGGUUCACAAGCGUGAUGACUGGGUGCUCACGCGCUAGCAUGACGUGUGCCUCCCACAAACCUUCUUAUGCUCUGGCACGUUACCCGUCUGGCA